GCAAGAUCAGUUCCGUCGCGUCCUGACUGAGUCCAGAUUCGAAAUAAAAUCGUCGCGGAAAAGUUUGUGUAAAUGAAGAACAUUAAUAUUAUUGUGCGUCAUUAUUUUCGUCGUUUGGUUAUCAUCGCGAUAAAAAAGGAAUUCUCCUAUAACUACAAUCUACGACCCGUAGUUCGAUUUUACUUCGAGUGUCAUCAUAACCGUCUACCUACGUACAAUUGUAAAAAAUAGAGAGAGAGAGAGAGAGAGAGAGAGAGAGAGAGAGAGAGAGAGACCUUGCCUGUGUAGUACGGUUCGUGUUCUCGGUUCUUGGAAUCGCUAAUUAGUGUCCACCUUGUUUUAUUUCCAUGCCGCUCGUUCGGAGCCUUAAAAUUGGUGUCCACGCUAGGAACGACAACACCGAAUCCUUCAUAGGGUAAGCCCUCGAGACUGAUGCGACGCUUCUGCCGAAGAUUUC